rnacentral:lncRNA from 1 species
GAACAACUCCCCAAAGUCUCCUUAGCAGCCAGGAUUCACUAGAGACACCACUAAGACUGCCCUUGAGUCAUCCAAUCUUUGCCUCAGACCCCACAGACUAAAGCCACCCAGGCUGGUCACCCUCACUGCCGCCCCCGGGUCUGGGCCAAGCCUAGACGGAGCAGUGUUGUUGGAGUCCAGAGGCAGAGGCCGACCCACCCAGCUUGACUUCUCCCAUCCCACAGCAGGGCGACUGGGUCCAGUGGACAAGGGUGUGCGCAGCAGGCUGCACGGGUUCCUCGUGGGCCUAGCCUGAGCUCCAGCACCGCCCGGUCAUCGCAGGAAAAGGUUGAGGCAGGUUGUUUGCACCUUGAGUCCUCAGACACGCUGGCUCAGCCAGGGCUGAAAUAGCCUAGGAGUGUGGCCUUGAAGGAUGGAAUGACAACAGGACAUGGAUGUGAGGAGGACCUGAGGCAAAGCUCCAGAUGGACAAGAGCAGGGAUCACCGCAGUACAGGCCGGGAGCCUGCUCGCAUGGAACUCCUCACUCUGGGAGAGAGAAGUGGCACCUAGAGGACCCUAAACUUCUACUUCUCAAAAUCUGUCUCUGUCACCAGCCAAUAGACAAAGGCAGGGGUUCCCGACGCUCUCAAGACACCCCGAUUUCCAUCCCCUGAAUUCAGUGGCCUCUGAAUUCCAGGUGGUUUUCCCAGGCAGGUCUGUGCCCAAGGCCCCUGUGCCAGCGGGGGACCUGCUGCAGAGCCAGCCCUGCCUGCCCCACCCCACCCCACCCCAGCUCUUCCUGGCUGCUCUUUCCUGCCGCGCCAAGGUGGAGCCAGCCGCCCUCCCCCACACAGCCCUCUGUGACUCAGUGGAAGCUGGUGGCCACUUCCCCCACCCCACCCACACUCACAUUCCAACGGCCAGCUCACUGGCUUCUUGGCACCCGACCCGCGGCCCCCAGGCCUCUGCCUAGAGUAAACAGUCCCUCUCUUUAUGGACGAUUUACGACCAGGGCCGGCCCAGUAUGGGAAGGGGCCACAUGUAUCUUACCCUCUGAGCACAGCCUUCCUCUGCACUACCAAGCCUGACCUUCGUGGAUCCUUCCUUGUGACCCCUGGCUGGCCUGGGAUGUUUUGUUUAAAGGAAUUUGAGACCUUCCCAUCAUUGUUGGGCCUAGCACUGUCCUGACUCAGUACAUGUUUAAAUAAAAGUUUUAAAAAAUGAUUAAUAGACUGGGAGUGCAAUUCAGUGGGAGAGUAUUUGCCCAUUACGC